ensembl:lncRNA
GUGGGUUAGUAAUCGCACGCCCCACGGGGCCGCUUCGGAAAAGCGCGAGGCUGAAGGCCGACAGACCGCGGGCUGGGCGGCGCCCGGCCGAGGCCGCCGGCGGGAGGAGCGCGGCGGGCGGGCGGCAGAGCCUGGGCUGCGGGCUGGAGGUGGAGCGCCACCUGGCGCCGAGCGUGCGAACUGCUGUUAGGGUGAGGAGGGGCAGCCAGAGCUGAGAAGGAGCGGGCCGAAAGUUUCGACGGUUCUUAAAGGUGCGGCCGGGGAUGUAGCUCCGUGGUUCCGCCGCCUGCCUCGCAAGCGCAAGGUCUCGAGUUCGAUCCCCGGUACCAAAAAAAAAAUAAGUGCAGGAUGACAGGUCAGCAAUUAGAGACACCUUUUCGGGUGUUGCUAUUUGGAGAAGUUUUCUAAGGGAUUUUAUUUCCCUGCUUCCUCUGGAGAGGAAGCCUAGUGAAGAGGGAUUUUAGAUAAACUAACAGGAGCCUGAGAGCCAGAGCCUAGCAAGACCACCCACACCAUGGGUCCAGUCAAAAGCCUGAGCCCUGGCACAGGUGCGCGUCCAAGCUGCGGUGGGUGGGGGUCUUCAUUACUCCACUUCCCCCACCCUGAGAACCGGUGCCCUGCUAUUUGACGAGGAGCCUCGGAUCUUCCAGAGGGCCACAGGAGUAACUUCCUUCGUUUGCGUGGUCCUUUGCCUCAGACAGUUCGGGUGGGGCUGGCUUUAUCCUGAAAGGGUCCUCUAUGUAGCUCAGGCCGGCCUUGAACUCACUGUGUAGCCCAGGCUGACUUCAAACUUGCAGUGAUCCUCCUGCUUCAGCCUCCUGAGUGCUGGGAUUACAGGUGUGCACCACCACACCCAGUCUAACAGGUUUCUCAACACAUCUUUCUGCUCCCACGGACUCUGCUUUUCAUCAUGGCUACAGCAAGUGGUGAGACAAACUGGACGUCUCCGCCGUGUGAGAGGUCAGAGCAAGGGUCAAAGUCAGAAACCCAUCUGCAAACCUCCGGGGUCUCCUGAAGUCGGCCUGAGUGCCUUGCCUUGUUUGUGUCUGUACUGGAAAAGGGCCCUGGAGCCGGAACCCCUCCUUGGGACUCUCCAAGAGGCCGAGCACUGUGAGUUGAAGGAGUGGGAAACUCCACCCCGCCUGUGUCCUUCCUGGAUCAGAGCUGACUGGGGGGCUGAAGCUGAGGUUUCUGAGGCACUUGGGGAGGGUGGCCUGGUUUCCUAGGCUAAGGAGACUCCCGGUGUGGCUGCUUCUGUAAACACAUGGGGGCUGAGAAGGGGCCUCAGUGACUUCAGUCUCCUCUCUGGGCUUCUUCAAGUGCCACACCUGGGCCUUCGCAGAAAGCAGUUGCUGAUAAAGAGCCAUGAGAGCCUGAGCACAAGGAAUUUCACGCCAGUGUCCCUGCCUUUUGCAGAAUAGAUCUAGCUGAAGAACAGUGCUGUGAUUUAGAUGAAUUCUGUACCCAUCUGUCACCAUUUCUGAGUUCAUACCGCACCAAACAGUUCUGCAAUAGGAGAUGAGCGUUUUUUUCUCUCAGAUAGUCAGGGUCCAUUUAUUUCCACUUUGAAGGGUGGAGCCUCAUGAUGAGGUUGCUGGGAUCGCAGGGUGUUUCCUGUGGGGCUUCUGGGGCCUCUGGGCUGGCUCACCAAGAAAUGCUACCACAUGUGGGUCCCAGGGAAAUUCCUUCCAGGUUCUUGGUGUCUUGGACAAGACACAGGGAAAACGUAGUGGAGAUGUACAUUUAUUGAAGGUGGGAAAGAAGUUCACUCUGCAGAGUGAAACCGAGCUAGUGAACAGACUCACAGUGGCCAAAAAAGUAAAAUUCCGAGACAGUCUCACUAAAUUCCCCAGCUGACCUCAAACUUGCAAUCCUCCUGCUUCAGCCUUCCCAGUAGCUAGGAUUACGGUAUGUGUCACAGUUCCUGACUUCAUUUGACUCUUUUUUUAUGGCUUCCAUUUCUC